CCGGCUUAGAGCGAGUGAGGAAUAUUUAUUAUAACAAUAAGAUUUGAAAACUAAAACACACAAAAACAAUAAUUAUCUUACCUGUUACUAAAUCACAUAAUUAGUUACCACAAUUAUUCUUUUCCCUUGACUUUUCCCUUGACUUGCGGAUCAAACAACUUAAAUUUUUUGAAAAUUUAACGUAUAAAAUAUAUCCAUAAUUGACACCUUUCAUAUGAAAUUGAGAUCAUAAAUAUCUACUAUCAAACUAUUUCAUAUAUUCUGUCUAACCAAUAUUAUCUUUAAUACAAACUUAAGCUUAUUUAUAAUUUUUUUAUCAGUAACAUCAAAUUUAUAUUUUCAUUUUAUUUUCUUACAGAUUUAAAUCUUAAUUUUUAUAUGUUCUAAAUUUGAUAGAAGUUUAACAAUCAUUUUAUUUUCUUACAGUUGUUAUAACUAAUGUACCAUUUAAAACUAGCAUACUAACUAAUAAUUGUCUAUUUUCCAUACUUUUCAUUAUAAAAAUUUGUUUGCUAUAUAUCUUAGACAUGGAUUUAAUUAUAUAAAUGUUGAAUUUAUACUCAAUAUUGGUAAUACAUUUUACGUUAAAACGGAAAAUUAAAAAAAUUACUCGAUUUUAUACAACUGCAUUUACAAAUAUAACAUUAUGUAUAAACAAAAAAUAAAUGUAAAAUUAAAUACCCGUGCGGUCGCACGGGUCAAGAUCUAGUUAUUAUAUUGAAACAGAAUUGUUAACAAAUGAUCCAUCUUUUCCUAGCAUCUAACAAGAAAAGGAAAGAAAUAAAAGUAUGAAAUUUUAGUGACCUUGAGGCCUGAUCCGCUUAUAAAUGUCAUCUAUCUACCGGAGUAGCUUGGUCAAGGACUAUGCAGCCCGUCUUGAACAUUAGUUCUUUGUUAAUUUUAAAAUUAAAUAGCAUUUGAUUGAUAAGUUGAAGGUAAACAUUAUCAAUUAAAUAAUUUUUAAUCAAUAGAAAAUAAUAUUUAAUUAUAUUUGUCAUUCAGUUAAUUAUUUGUUAUAAAAACAGAUUUGUAAGUAUUUUAUGUACUUAUAGCAUAUUAAUAUUUUAUUUUGUAUUAUCAGGUUCUAUUAGAUGAUUUGAUGAACAAGAUAUGGUUGAAAACUUAUGAUAUAUAACAUCAUGGACAAAUUCCUGACAGAUAAAAUUUGGUGGAUAUCUUGGUAACCAAGAAUUAUGGACAUUUUAAUGCUAUUAACUAGAAACGUGGACACACUAUAAAGAGAUAAAAAUAAUAUACAAACUAAUAUUGGAUAGAUGUGUUGUGAACGAAUGAGUUAUGUAUGAACGAGUUGUUCUCUCUCUCUCUCAGUCGUGAUCCUUUUCAAGGAUAGAGAUGGAACUAGCUGUCGACUUAGAUCUAGCUAGGUUUUUCAGAAUGAGGGGCUGUCAUGAAUUGGUUGAGUGUCUUUACACAGCCACACUCCAUUGUGUGAGUGUAAUUGAUGCCCACAUAAAUGUGCUAUAUAUGAAAAAUCAGGAAGAGCAGACAAAAACUAGUGUUGAUGGUAGAGUAUAGGAGCUCUGGAAAUCGAGGAUAUAUAGCGAUACUAAGAAGAACUGUCCGUUAAAGACAAAAGGUUUUUCUCGAAAAUGAAUUUGUCUAAUAUAGUUUUAUGUGAUUUAACCAAUCUAACUAUUUAACAACAUUUGGUUGAAAUUAUUUGUAAAAUAGAAUACAACGCAAUGAUAGUUUAAAAUACCCACAAUGGUUUUGUGGAAACAUAUGUUAUACUAUUUUAUUUUGCUAUCUUAUAUAUAUCCACCACACAAAAAAAGAAAUUGAUUAAAAUCUACUUCAUAGUAAAAUAUAUUAGUAAAUCCAAGUUAAAAAAAAUGAUGGUAUAUAGCAGUGUUUGAAAUAAAAUUUAACUUAGACAUGAUUACAUGUAAUUAUCAGAUUUUUAAAAGGAACCAACAGAAUAGUGUGUAACAAUAAGUUUUCAAUUGAAAGACUAGAAAGUAUUAAAAUUUGGUUGUAAAUCGUUUUUUGUUUAAUAAAGAGAAUAACUUAUUAAAAGCAAACACAGCGAGAUGAAUAUAUUGCUUAUUAAGUUGUUAACCCUUGUAAAAUAUUAUGAAAGAGCAAAACACACAUUAAACAAAAAGAUUACCCACUUGCUUAUAAAUUCAACACACUGCGUGAUUUUUUUUUCCAAUGUUUAUUUUUUGUGCAGAAGAAAUCAAAAGAAACAUUACUAGAUCGUUUUCAUUAUGACACUUAAGGAUGAGGAUUUGCGUGUGGCAAACACAUAUUUUUGAAUAUAUUUUGGGUGAUUUUAUUUAGCAUUUGGUUACUUGUUUUAAAUAAUUACUAGAUACGGACCCGCGCUGUGCGCUGAUAUGGUUCUGCCAAUUUGUUUAAAAAAUAUUUAGUAAUAUAUUAUAUUUAUAUAAUAUUUUUAUGUUAGUGACUUGAAAAAAAAUAUUUUUUUAAGAUAUAUUGAACUGUGAUGUUGUUAUAACAUAUAUUGUACAUGGUGUUUUUUUGUGUGCAGAAAUUUUUGAUAUUGUGCAUAGUGUUUUUUUUGUUAUAUAUGUUCUUUAAAAUAUAUUUAUAUGUUAUUUAAAAUCUAUUAUUAACAUAUUUGGGAAAAUAAUUUUUUUGGGUCCCCACAUUUAAGAUAUAGUUUACUAUGUUUUAAAAAUAUAUGGUCAAUUUAAAUUAACUGAGAUUAGAUUUAUUUUAAUAGAGUAGAUUAUAAUUUUAAAACAAAAAAGCCUGAUUUUUUUUAUCUCAUUAAACUCAACAUAGAUGUUUUUAUUCAUCUCUUUAAAUGGAAAGAAGUCUGAACUUUGUCUCAUAAAUGGGUCAACCUUAAGUCCAACAUAAAACCAUGCAACAUAUAUGUUUUAUGGGCACUAUUUUGUUUCUUAUAUUUUACACGUGAUGACCCAUUAAGUUUUCAAGCAUUAUAUUUGUUGUUACAGAAAUGGCCCAUUAGUUAAAAACGUAUUAGAUUCAUCGAAAGGUAAAUUAAGGCCACACCUUUUUUUUCCGGGAAGCAAAACCACUUUUAACGUUUUCUUGAAAAAAUCAACAACCUUUUUUUCUUUGCUUCUCCGUCGGUGGUUCUCAGUUCGAGACAAUACUCAUCUCUAUAAUCACCAACAAAAAUUCUUUAAAAGUAUAUCAAAUCCAGAAUAAACACCGUUCAGUCAAUCACCAAACUCAAUCGAUAACUGAGUUCUCGGUAAUUGGCCAGGAUUGUUUAAACGAUGGAUCUUUAAAAAGACAAAAGCAGAGUAGAAGACAAACAGAGAUUUUAAAAAGUUAAGUCUGACCUGAAAUAUAAUCAUAUUACAUAUGUUCACAUCAUCACAGUUUUUAUUUAUUCUCUUGUUGAUCCUUUGCUAUGUUUUCGUUUCUAUUAUUUCCUUGUUCUUAUUUUUUUUUGUCUUUUCAUCUCAUAUAUUGAUAGGUCAUUGAUAAGGGUUGUAUGCCAGAGAAACUGGGAAAUACAGCUUUGGAACAAUUCACAAAAUAAACUACAGAAACAAAGAUUGGGAACGCAGCCGAUGACCAUCAUCCUCAAACCGAGGUUGAUGCUUUCUUUUCAUCCUCUUCAUUGAAGGGCUAUGUUAGCAGAAACUACACGGAUGCAAAUAUAGAUUUAUCAAACAAUCUACUUUGGCUGAUUUACUAAAGGGAGUUCAACAACAGCUUAUUAAAGGUGGAAUUGGUGACGUUGGAGUUGCUGAUGAUCGACAUUUUGUACUUAUGACUUGUCGGUCGGCACUUUCCGGCAGCUGCGGUUAGUGAGAAAUUUUCAAUGAACCUCCAUUGUCCAACUUGAAGUUUCUUAACACGAGCAAAGAAGAGUCUCUUGCAGAAUGAACUGAAGAGAAUCUCCACCAGAAUAAGAUGAAUGUUGUGUCCAUGAAUGCAGGACUUUAACUUCGACCUUCCAAGAUGUUUUGUAUGGUUUGACAUCAUUGAGAAAAGUCAUCGUCGGGUCUGAGGUAAUACUCUUUUUUUUUACAGCAAGACAUUCACAAUACUCUUAUUUGAGGAAAUUACAGAAAUUGUCCACUAUGUGACGAAAACUUCAUGUUUGACCAUGCUGUUAGUGAUCAACAUAAUACUCAAUAUAGUGAUCUCGUCAUUUUUUUUGCUGCUCGAAUGCUUUCUACAAAAUGUGUGUUUAGCCGCGACUCUGGAAGAAAAGUAGGCACUUUCGAACUUCUUUUUUUGUCCUAUAUGUUAGUUGGUUAUGUGCUCUACUAUUAUUAUUAUUUGAAUGUACGUUUAUAUAAUGUUGGUCAAUUAUGAUCCUUUGUUUA